rnacentral:rRNA from 1 species
UACGUAGGGGGCAAGCGUUAUCCGGAAUUAUUGGGCGUAAAGAGUACGUAGGCGGUUCUUUAAGCGCAGGGUUUAAGGCGAUAGCUUAACUAUCGUUCGCCCUGUGAACUGGGGGACUUGAGUAUCGGAGAGGAAAGCGGAAUUCCUAGUGUAGCGGUGAAAUGCGUAGAUAUUAGGAGGAACACCAGUGGCGAAGGCGGCUUUCUGGACGAAAACUGACGCUGAGGUACGAAAGCGUGGGGAGCAAACAGG